rnacentral:rRNA from 1 species
AUGGCUACAUUCCCCUUUGACCCUACGCCAUUUCUUCCGCCCAAUCAUCAGAGCAUUCAGGUGGAAGGAAGACCAGCUAGAGUUUGCGUCAUCACCGGGGCGGCUCCUCCCACGCAUGAGGACUGGGCGAUUGCUACCAGCGUGCCAAUGCCGAAUCUGCCGGUCGCCUUCAACACUAUACGCGAGGUACUUUCUGACUUCCUGACAGACAUAGGAUUGGGGUUUUCUGAGAUUGAGCCAUGCCCUUUCGGCCAAGCAUAUGUCAGAUUCAGCAGUGUCUUUGAUAGGGAUGCAUUAGUUGCGAACAGUCCGCAUCUUUUCACGGAUGUUCAUGUCAUCUUCCAAAAGCACAAUCAAGGGUUAAACUGGAGAAGUUUGGUCUUAAAUAGAGAUGUUUGGAUUUUGCUCUGUGGAUACCCGUUUGACAGAAGAUCUAUUCAGGAAGUGAGCAAUGCAGUCAAUAAAUUUGGCAAAUUUCUCAUGUGGGAUCGUGUUAGAAGUACACAGGCCAAUCUUAUGGUUCAUGUCAGAGUUGAGGAUCUGUCAGAUAUCCCUGUCAGCAUUGUAUUUGGAGAGGGAGACAGAAUGGUGGACCCCAUGCACUUGGAAAUACAAGCUUAUGCUCCAACUGCACUGAAAGAGAAUUUGGCCCAACAGAUUCCAGAAGCUGCUAUUCACUCCACUGAAUUCAACAAUAUCCCUGCUGCCUUGGCUAACACUGAAGAUGCAGCACAUCUAACCAGCCACACACUGGCUGCUGAACUUGAUGGAGACAAUCUUCCCCAGGAAACCACAGGUGAGACCUCAGAAAGCUCUGCUGCUCCACCUAGUUUUCCCGUCCCUGCUUUUAUUAAUCAGGCUCAUACUAUCUGCCUAGGAUCCAUACAUAGGGUGGCUGAAUUGACUUGUGAAGAAGCACAAGCAGACAAUACUCCAACACCAGUUCAGACAGAAGAAGAUCUUAUUGGAGCAGAAGGUGCAAAGAUCUAG